rnacentral:misc_RNA from 1 species
AACGGUCUAUACCUGCGGUACCUGCGGAGGGAUCAUUACUGAAUUGAUUUUGGGGAUGUUGCUGGUCUCUUGAGGCAAUGGUGCACUCCCUCAAACAUUUCACAAUUUCCAUCUUACCCAUGUGCACAUCCUGUAGGUGGUCUCCCAACCCACCCUCCAAGGAAAGGGGGGGAGUGUGUGGGUCUGGUCUCCUAUGUAUUUCCUUGCCAACAUCACACGUCUUGACUGAAUGAAUCCUGU